rnacentral:rRNA from 1 species
GAACUUAAGCAUAUCAAUAAGCGGAGGAAAAGAAACCAACAGGGAUUACCUCAGUAACGGCGAGUGAAGCGGUAACAGCUCAAAUUUGAAAUCUGGCCUCACGGUCCGAGUUGUAAUUUGUAGAGGAUGUUUCGAACGUGGUCCGGUCUAAGUUCCUUGGAACAGGACGUCAUAGAGGGUGAGAAUCCCGUAUGCGACUGGGUGCCUAAGUUCAUGUGAAACUCCCUCGACGAGUCGAGUUGUUUGGGAAUGCAGCUCAAAAUGGGUGGUAAAUUUCAUCUAAAGCUAAAUAUUGGCCAGAGACCGAUAGCGCACAAGUAGAGUGAUCGAAAGAUGAAAAGCACUUUGGAAAGAGAGUUAAACAGUACGUGAAAUUGUUGAAAGGGAAGCGCUUGCAACCAGACUUGCACGCAGUUGAUCAUCCGGUAUUCUUACCGGUGCACUCGAUUGUGUUCAGGCCAGCAUCGGUUUUGGUGGUUGGAUAAAGGCCUUGGGAAUGUAGCUUCUUUCGGGAAGUGUUAUAGCCCUCGGUGCAAUGCAGCCUACCGGGACCGAGGACCGCGCUUCGGCUAGGAUGCUGGCGUAAUGGUUGUAAGCGACCCGUCUUGAAACACGGACCAAGGAGUCUAACAUCUAUGCGAGUGUUUGGGUGUCAAACCCAUACGCGUAAUGAAAGUGAACGGAGGUGAGAACCCUUAAGGGUGCAUCAUCGACCGAUCCUGAUGUCUUCGGAUGGAUUUGAGUAAGAGCAUAGCUGUUGGGACCCGAAA